rnacentral:rRNA from 1 species
GACGAACGCUGGCGGCGUGCUUAACACAUGCAAGUCGAACGAUGAAGCCUAACUUGCUAGGUGGAUUAGUGGCGAACGGGUGAGUAAUACGUGAGUAACCUACCUUUAACUCUGGGAUAAGCCUGGGAAACUGGGUCUAAUACCGGACGACGACCAAUCUCCGCAUGGGGUGUUGGUGGAAAGCGUUAUGUAGUGGUUAUAGAUGGGCUCACGGCCUAUCAGCUUGUUGGUGAGGUAACGGCUCACCAAGGCGACGACGGGUAGCCGGCCUGAGAGGGUGACCGGCCACACUGGGACUGAGACACGGCCCAGACUCCUACGGGAGGCAGCAGUGGGGAAUAUUGCACAAUGGGCGCAAGCCUGAUGCAGCGACGCCGCGUGAGGGAUGACGGCCUUCGGGUUGUAAACCUCUGUUAGCAGGGAAGAAGAGAAAUUGACGGUACCUGCAGAGAAAGCGCCGGCUAACUACGUGCCAGCAGCCGCGGUAAUACGUAGGGCGCGAGCGUUGUCCGGAAUUAUUGGGCGUAAAGAGCUUGUAGGCGGUUUGUCGCGUCUGCUGUGAAGGCCGGGGCUUAACCCCGUGUAUUGCAGUGGGUACGGGCAGACUAGAGUGCAGUAGGGGAGACUGGAAUUCCUGGUGUAGCGGUGGAAUGCGCAGAUAUCAGGAGGAACACCGAUGGCGAAGGCAGGUCUCUGGGCUGUAACUGACGCUGAGAAGCGAAAGCAUGGGGAGCGAACAGGAUUAGAUACCCUGGUAGUCCAUGCCGUAAACGUUGGGCACUAGGUGUGGGGGACAUUCCACGUUUUCCGCGCCGUAGCUAACGCAUUAAGUGCCCCGCCUGGGGAGUACGGCCGCAAGGCUAAAACUCAAGGAAAUUGACGGGGGCCCGCACAAGCGGCGGAGCAUGCGGAUUAAUUCGAUGCAACGCGAAGAACCUUACCAAGGCUUGACAUAUACUGGACCGCAUCAGAGAUGGUGUUUCCCUUCGGGGCUGGUAUACAGGUGGUGCAUGGUUGUCGUCAGCUCGUGUCGUGAGAUGUUGGGUUAAGUCCCGCAACGAGCGCAACCCUCGUUCUAUGUUGCCAGCACGUUAUGGUGGGGACUCAUAGGAGACUGCCGGGGUCAACUCGGAGGAAGGUGGGGAUGACGUCAAAUCAUCAUGCCCCUUAUGUCUUGGGCUUCACGCAUGCUACAAUGGCCGGUACAGAGGGUUGCGAUACUGUGAGGUGGAGCUAAUCCCUAAAAGCCGGUCUCAGUUCGGAUUGGGGUCUGCAACUCGACCCCAUGAAGUCGGAGUCGCUAGUAAUCGCAGAUCAGCAACGCUGCGGUGAAUACGUUCCCGGGCCU